rnacentral:rRNA from 1 species
AUUGAACGCUGGCGGCAUGCCUUACACAUGCAAGUCGAACGGCAGCACGGGAGCAAUCCUGGUGGCGAGUGGCGAACGGGUGAGUAAAGUAUCGGAACGUGCCCAGUCGUGGGGGAUAACGUAGCGAAGGUUACGCUAAUACCGCAUACGAUCUAUGGAUGAAAGCGGGGGAUCGCAAGACCUCGCGCGAUUGGAGCGGCCGAUAUCAGAUUAGGUAGUUGGUGGGGUAAAGGCUCACCAAGCCGACGAUGUGUAGCUGGUCUGGGAGGACGACCAGCCACACUGGGACUGAGACACGGCCCAGACUCCUACGGGAGGCAGCAGUGGGGAAUUUUGGACAAUGGGCGAAAGCCUGAUCCAGCCAUGCCGCGUGCAGGAUGAUGGCCUUCGGGUUGUAAACUGCUUUUGUACGGAACGAAAAGGUUUGGCCUAAUAAGCUGAGCUCAUGACGGUACCGUAAGAAUAAGCACCGGCUAACUACGUGCCAGCCGCCGCCGUAA